ensembl:lncRNA
CAGCCGUGUUUUCCAGACUGCCAAGAAUGUCAGCCUUUAGAGGGAUUGGUGGGGCUGCUUGUUUAAGCCAAUAGGCAGAGAGUACAGCGUUAAUGUCAUCUCGCCGCCCGUGAGUCUCUCUGCGCUUUAACUUGUGGUGCUGUACCAACACCAGAACCUGAGCUGAGCUGUUAAAUCAACGCCGCUGCUGGUCUGUGUGGUGAAACUCUCACGUCGUUUCUCUCUAUAUGAUGUUCUGAAAAGUCGUUGUAUUCUAUUCAUUCGAACUUCGAAUAGUUCACGGUGAGACUAGAACGGAGGAACAUAAUACUGUAGGUGCAGCACUACUAUUUAAAGUGGCGCCGAUGACACCAAUCGUGAAUAUUGUUCUACUCAAUUAACGGAAUAUCCUUACCCCUACCCAUAACUCCACGCAAUCAGUCUUUCUGUCUUCAGCUGACUCCUGCACAAGGAGCUCUUAUUCAUUCCACCCCCCCCCCAUCCUUCCCUCUCACAACCACCAUUUCCGUGAUGAGCGGCCUGUAGGGAGGAGUGUGAUGCUGUAUCAUCAGUGGAUCUCCACUUUGUCUCAAAGUGUUUACCAGGGGACCGGCAGCUGAUUGUCCAGAAGGAAAACGCUUUGAUUGGUCCGAUUUCAUCAGAUGAUGAUGCCACCCUGUCUGUUUCAGGAAGGACCGUAUUAUAAUAAUGAAGUCAAAGAGGGUUUGAACUAACACAGUACUAACACAGUACUAAUGCAGUACUAAUUCAGUACUAACACAGUACCAAUGCAAUACUAACACAGUACUAACACAGUACUAACACAGUACUAACGCAGUACUAACACAGUACUAACACAGUACUAAUGCAAUACUAACAUAGUACUAACACAGUACUAACACAGUACUAACACAGUACUAACGCAGUACUAAUGCAGUACUAAUGCAAUACUAUCAUAGUACUGACGCAAUACUAACACAGUACUAACACAGUACUAACACAGUACUAACGCAGUACUAACGCAGUACUAAUGCAAUACUAACACAGUACUAACACAGUACUAACACAGUACUAAUGCAAUACUAACAUAGUACUAACACAGUACUAACAUAGUACUAACACAGUACUAGUGCAAUAUUAACACAGUACUAACACAGUACUAACACAGUACUAACGCAAUACUAACGCAAUACUAACGCAGUACUAACACAGUACUAACACAGUACUAAUGCAAUACUAACACAGUACUAAUGCAAUAUUAACACAGUACUAACACAGUACUAACACAGUACUAACACAGUACUAAUGCAAUACUAACACAGUACUAAUGCAAUAUUAACACAGUACUAACACAGUACUAACGCAGUACUAAUGCAGUACUAACACAAUACUAAUGCACUACUAACACAAUACUCACACAGUACUAAAGUCUGCACAGCAUUUUAGAUCACAGCAUUUUAGAUCACAGCAUUUCAGAGAACAGAACUGUGCUGUAGCUAUGGUACCGGUAGCCCUGUAAACAAGGUAGUUGUGGUUACCGUAGUUUCACUACAGGGUGGCAGGUAGCCUAGCGGUUGGAGCGUUGGGUCAGUAACCAAAAGGUUGCUGGAUCGAAUCCCCGAGCUGACAACGUAAAAAUCUGUUGUUCUGCCCCUGAACAAGGCAGUUAACCCACUGUUCCCCGGUAGUCCGUUAUUGUAAAUAAGAAUUUGUUCUUAACUGACUUGCCUAGUUAGAUAAAGGUUUUAAAAACUACAGUGUUGGUACUGUAGAGAUGUGUGGAUAGAAAAGUAUUUUGACAAAUUGAGGUGUCCACCAUUUUGGUGAGAAAUGUGUACUUUUGCUGUGAUGCAGAACCACAGUACUCAAUUUCCUUUCUAACACAAACUAUCUUUGUUUAUUGGGGUCUGUAAUUAAGUGCCGGAAUAUCCUCCUUGACUACAACCAUUCUAUUUCAGA